rnacentral:rRNA from 1 species
UACAGAGGUGGCAAGCGUUGUUCGGAAUUACUGGGCGUAAAGGGCGCGUAGGCGGUCUUGUAAGUCUUGUGUGAAAUCCCUCGGCUUAACUGAGGAACUGCACGAGAUACUGCGAGACUUGAGAUCGGGAGAGGGAAGCGGAAUUCCGGGUGUAGCGGUGAAAUGCGUAGAUAUCCGGAGGAACACCGGUGGCGAAGGCGGCUUCCUGGACCGACACUGACGCUGAGACGCGAAAGCGUGGGGAGCGAACAGG